UCCUCAGCGAGGACGACGUUUUCCAUCCAGACCAGAAGGGAAAAAAAACAGCAAAAAAAGAGGACAACCACCAGACCGGGGUUUGGCUGGAAAAAAAUAAAACCGGAACCUUUAGCUGCUUCACCGGGGAUAAAACACAUAUCGCCGGCGGAGAUAACAGCAUUCUUCACCGGUGCUUCCUUUACGAACACAACGUUUUCAGACGAGGAGUGUUGGCAAGCUUCUAGGAAGGUCAGACUUUACUACUGGAACCAGGCUGAUCACUGACUAGAAGAGGAGGAUGCUCCCCUGAAUCCCACCCGGUCACAACCCCCCCCCCCCC